CCUGCCCCUCCGGCGAGGUGUGGGGGUGGGUGGGGGAAAGGCUUGCUCAUCCAGGCCUUUGGAAAUAUCCCGACACACUUUCCUCCGGGCCGGCCGAAGUUACUUUCCAAGUAUUUCACUUUCCAUUUCUUCUCCAGAUCUGGUAACAGGGUGUUCCUGCCCUCUUCCCCUUACUGACCUUUCUGCCUGGGCCCUGCCUCUGCGGCGUUUCAUCAAGUCGACAUGCUCUCAGGAAACCAGGCCAACUCUGCUCUCAGCCCCAUGGAAGGCCCAGAUGUGGGCGACGGGCCCUGCUCAGCCUGCGGCAGCUCACCAUCAAACCUGAGGGACACCAGACAGAGGGAAACAUGCCGGGGGCUCCCGGGCUGCGAGAUCUGGCCUCCUGACUGCCAAGGCCACAGGAGUUUUGCAGACCAGACAUAGAAAGCAGGGACUGAAAGAAAAAAAAAAAGAAAAGAGGAGAAAAAAAGCAGAGCGAACUGAAGCCAGAGUGGGCGUCGUGCAAGAGGCUCUGGAGCUGCAGACAGUUGCAGCCUAGAUUCGACGUGCAAUGAGAAACGUCCCAGAUCGCCCAAGCAGAGCUCCGGCCUACUUUGAAGUGUUGACAACACAUAAAAUUAAAAGCAUCACAAUGCGAA